rnacentral:ncRNA from 1 species
GUAGAGUAGAUACUGUACGUUAAGUGUCAUCAGACGGGAAGACUUCUGAUGAACGAAGGUGUUUACACCGCGUUAUAGCAUCGCUUCCGCUA